UGAUCCUCACUUGAAGCUUUGAUUAUUGAUGCUAAAUUGUGCUUUGUUGUUGUUGGCUUUGGCUGCAAUUAGGGAGAAUGGAUAUUGUAAUUAAGGAGGACAAUUAACUAAUUAAUUAAUGUAAUAAGAUUUGUAAUUAUGCUAGAUUAUUAUGUUUUUGAGGUGCAGAAAUCAAUUAGUUAAUUGUCUGGUUUAUUUUUCUGAUGAUAUAGCUUCAAGAGCUCGUUUAUUUUUCAUGAGCCCAACC
rnacentral:misc_RNA from 1 species